GAUGAAGAACGUAGCGAAAUGCGAUAAGUAAUGUGAAUUGCAGAAUUCAGUGAAUCAUCGAAUCUUUGAACGCACAUUGCGCCCAUUAGUAUUCUAGUGGGCAUGCCUGUUCGAGCGUCAUUUCAACCCUUAAGCCUAGCUUAGUAUUGGGAAUCGACUUUACUGUCGUUCCUCAAAUUCAACGGCGGAUUUAUAGCAAUCUCUGAACGUAGUAAUUUUUUUUCUCGUUUUUGAAAUACUAUAAACCUCAGCCGCUAAACCCCCAAUUUCUUAUGGUUGACCUCGGAUCAGGUAGGAAUACCCGCUGAACUUAAGCAUAUCAAUAGCGGAGGA
rnacentral:misc_RNA from 1 species